UAGGUGAACCUGCGGAAGGAUCAUUAGUGAAUAUAGGACGUCCAACUUAACUUGGAGUCCGAACUCUCACUUUCUAACCCUGUGCACUUGUUUGGGAUAGUAACUCUCGCAAGAGAGCGAACUCCUAUUCACUUAUAAACACAAAGUCUAUGAAUGUAUUAAAUUUUAUAACAAAAUAAAACUUUCAACAACGGAUCUCUUGGCUCUCGCAUCGAUGAAGAACGCAGCGAAAUGCGAUAAGUAAUGUGAAUUGCAGAAUUCAGUGAAUCAUCGAAUCUUUGAACGCACCUUGCGCUCCAUGGUAUUCCGUGGAGCAUGCCUGUUUGAGUGUCAUGAAUACUUCAACCCUCCUCUUUCUUAAUGAUUGAAGAGGUGUUUGGUUUCUGAGCGCUGCUGGCCUUUACGGUCUAGCUCGUUCGUAAUGCAUUAGCAUCCGCAAUCGAACUUCGGAUUGACUUGGCGUAAUAGACUAUUCGCUGAGGAAUUCUAGUCUUCGGAUUAGAGCCGGGUUGGGUUAAAGGAAGCUUCUAAUCAGAAUGUCUACAUUUUAAGAUUAGAUCUCAAAUCAGGUAGGACUACCCGCUGAACUUAAGCAUAUCAAUAAGCGGA
rnacentral:rRNA from 1 species